CGGCACGGGUGAGUAACACGUAUCCAACCUGCCGUCUACUCUUGGACAGCCUUCUGAAAGGAAGAUUAAUACAAGAUGGCAUCAUGAGUUCACAUGUUCACAUGAUUAAAGGUAUUCCGGUAGACGAUGGGGAUGCGUUCCAUUAGAUAGUAGGCGGGGUAACGGCCCACCUAGUCUUCGAUGGAUAGGGGUUCUGAGAGGAAGGUCCCCCACAUUGGUACUGAGACACGGACCAA
rnacentral:rRNA from 1 species